AGGUAGCGUUGUUGGUAGGGCGCCGGCCUGUGGAACUCGAUACCCAGGUUCGAUCCCG
rnacentral:tRNA from 1 species